UGAGCUUGUUCUUUUCGAAGGCUUAAGUACCACUUAAGCUCCUAAUUAGAAAAGAGGGGGCUCA
rnacentral:sRNA from 12 species